rnacentral:misc_RNA from 1 species
UUUAUGAUUUUUAGGCAUGUCUAAUUAUUUUUUAAAAAUUGGAUUUCUUACUGCUGUCAAUCUAUCAAGAUAUGUGAAUUAUAUGUUUAUGCAUGUUCUUGUGUGUUUUUAAGUUUCAAUUGAUAUUUAAUCUAUUUUUCUGUGUUCUUUAAAUUCGAGAAGUGUUAUGAAGUGUUUGGAUUAUGUUAGAAGACUUGGCUCUUUAGGUAGUUAUAACUAAUAAGGAAUUUUAACCCUUUAGAAAACUAGAGUUAAAAUCCAAUGUGAAUUGUUAUUAGUAUUUUUUCUUAUUUUCUUACUUCCUUUAUUUUCUUUAGUUUUUUUUUUUUUU